rnacentral:rRNA from 1 species
AGCAAGGGCAGAAUCCAAUUUUCUGCCACCGAAAUACAUUAGCAUGGGAUAAUGGAAUAGGACCCUGUCCUCCUAUUUUCAGUUGGUUUUGGCAGCGCGAGGACUAGGGUAAUGAUUAAUAGGGAUAGUUGGGGGCAUUAAUAUUUAAUUGUCAGAGGUGAAAUUCUUGGAUUUAUGAAAGAUUAACUUCUGCGAAAGCAUCUGCCAAGGAUGUUUUCAUUAAUCAAGAACGAAAGUUAGGGGAUCGAAGACGAUCAGAUACCGUCGUAGUCUUAACCAUAAACGAUGCCGACCAGCGAUUAGGAGACGUUGAAUACAAAACACCACCAUCGGUGCGGUCGUCCUUGGCGUCUGUCUUUCGGGGCGGGCGCGGGGACGGCUUAGCCCGGUGGCACCGGUGAAUGACUCCCCUAGCAGUUUUGGAGAGAAAA